rnacentral:rRNA from 1 species
UAAUACGUAGGGGGCAAGCGUUGUCCGGAAUCAUUGGGCGUAAAGCGCGUGUAGGCGGCUCGGUAAGUCUGCUGUGAAAGUCCAGGGCUCAACCCUGGGAUGCCGGUGGAUACUGUCGAGCUCGAGUCCGGAAGAGGCGAGUGGAAUUCCUGGUGUAGCGGUGAAAUGCGCAGAUAUCAGG